AAACGUUUUUCGUGAGAGGCCCGCUUCCUCUCCCUCCCUAUUAUCUAUAGUUCGGGUGUUGUAUCGAGAGAUGAGACACAUUUUUGAAAAUAUCUUUUUCUUUAAACAAAAUGAUUGAGAAAAACAAACAUCCUGAAAAGAGCAGCAAAUUUCUUAUAUAAAGCACAAAUUCUGCUUAACGAAUCACCAGUCUUCUACAGGCCACAAAGAAAACAUGAACAAGUCAGCUCUUCUCCUUUUGCUCGUCGUCGGACUUCUCGUUCUCACUGACACCGCCGUCGCCGCUGGUCGUCGCAGAUUGAUAUGGGACCAAAAGCCAGCAAGUGCUGAAGACAACAAUGAAUUGAGUGACAGACUCAGUCGUAGAUGGUGGGAAGUUAUGCAACAAAUCAACGAAGAAGAACAAUAAUUGUUCUCCUCACAAUGUAUUAAUAAUGUACAGUUGAUAUAAAUAAAUUCUAAAUCAUUUACUUUG